rnacentral:rRNA from 1 species
CUGGUUGAUCCUGCCAGUAGUGAUAUGCUUGUUUCAAAGAUUAAGCCAUGCAUGUCUAAGUAUAAGCGAACUUAUACAGUGAAACUGCGGAUGGCUCAUUAAAACAGUUUGAAUUUAUUUGAUGAAUGUAUGAGAUUACUACUUGGAUAACCGUAGUAAUUCUAGAGCUAAUACAUGCAACGACGCCCGACCGUUUCACUACGGAAGGGCUGUAUUUAUUGGAUACCAAAACCAUCCUUCCCUCGGGAAGUUUUGUUUGAUGAUUCACAAUAACUGAUCGGAUCGCCACUGUGGUGGCGACAGGUCAUUCAACAUUCUGCCCUAUCAGCUUUCGAUGGUUGUGUAGUGGACAACCAUGGCCAUAACGGGUAACGGAGAAUCAGGGUUCGAUUCCGGAGAAGGAGCUUGAGAAUUGGCUACUACAUCUAAGGAAGGCAGCAGGCGCGCAAAUUACCCAAUCCCGAUUCGGGGAGGUAGUGACAAAAAAUAACAAUACCGGGCCUUUUUGGGCUUGGUAAUUGGAAUGAGGGAGAGUUAAACGGACCAUCGAGUAUCCAUUGGAGGGCAAGUCUGGUGCCAGCAGCUGCGGUAAUACCAGCUCCAAUAGCGUAUAUUAAAGUUGUUGCAGUUAAAAAGCUCGUAGUUGGACUUGUGUGCGCUGUCCGCGGGUGGCCUGCGCCCAAAAGGGCGUUUCGGUUCGGCCCCGGUGGCGCCUUGAAAUCUGCAGCUGGGGGGACGUUGGCCUUAACUGGUCGGCGACCGCACGCCGGCUGCUCGGUUACUGUGAGAAAAUUAGAGUGUUCAAGGCAGGCAUUGGGUGCAAUUGAAUACAUUAGCAUGGAAUAAUAAAAUAUGGCUCCUGCCGUAUUUUGUUGGUUUUGACUGGUGGGAGUAAUGAUUGAUAGGGACGGUUGGGGGUGCUAGUAUUGAGCGGCCAGAGGUGAAAUUCAUGGAUUUGCUCAAGACUAACUUAUGCGAAAGCAUUCACCAAGGACGUCCUCUUUAAUCAAGAACGAAAGUUGGGGGAUCGAAGACGAUCAGAUACCGUCGUAGUCUCAACCAUAAACUAUGUCGACUUGGGAUCGGCGGUAGUUUUUUCAUUAAGACACUGUCGGGACCACGGGAGAAAUCAAAGUGUCUGGACUCUGGGGGAAGUAUGGUCGCAAGGCUGAAACUUGAAGGAAUUGACGGAAGGGCACCACCAGGAGUGGAGCCUGCGGCUUAAUUUGACACAACACGGGGAAACUUACCAGGUCCAGAGAUGUAGAGGAUUGACAGAC